AGGAAGGAGUACAUAUACGUUCACAUCUCCAUAGGAGAAAUGGUGAGCUCCACUGUGAAUUAUUAGGGUUUUGUGUUGGGUGAUGAUGAUGCAGAACGGAGAGAUCAAGGUGGGGCCGUGGGGAGGGAACGGAGGGUCGGCAUGGGACAUGGGCCCCUCCGACCGCAUCUCCACCAUCAAGAUUCGCGCCGGCGACAGCAUCGACGCUAUAGAGAUCACCUUCACCCUCCAUGGCAAGACCUACACCAACCACUACGGCGGGCGGCUCCGGUGGCAAACCCUACGAGAUUGCACUUCAAGAGGGAGAACACCUUGUGUCGAUCGAGGGAUGCUGAUACCGUUGGGAGCACCAUUCUCGUAAAAGGACCCACUCUUCGCACCACAAGCACGACGGAGGACGAUGAUCGACAGAAGUAAAACGAUUAUUUAGAAAAAAAAAAAAAAAAAAAAAGGUUAUGUGAGAAUAACCUCAAAUGAUCCUUUCUAAAUAAAGAACGCUAUGGAAGCGACUCCGUUUGCCCUUCCGAUAGCAGCAGGAAAGAUCUCGGGCUUCUUCGGCCGUGGCGGCCAGUUUCUUGACUCCAUUGGGAUCUACCUGGAGCCACAAUUGGACACUGUAGUAAAGUACGAGAGCUGCUACAUGUGGGUGAUGUGACUGCAAUACAUGGAUUGAUAUUGCUUGGAAUAAUAAGUAUGUGGUGUGUUUUUAUUAAAGCAAUUGCAUUAUUAAUUAGUUCGA